rnacentral:rRNA from 1 species
UCGAACGAUGAACCACUUCGGUGGGGAUUAGUGGCGAACGGGUGAGUAACACGUGGGCAAUCUGCCCUGCACUCUGGGACAAGCCCUGGAAACGGGGUCUAAUACCGGAUACUGACCUUCACAGGCAUCUGUGAUGGUCGAAAGCUCCGGCGGUGCAGGAUGAGCCCGCGGCCUAUCAGCUUGUUGGUGAGGUAGUGGCUCACCAAGGCGACGACGGGUAGCCGGCCUGAGAGGGCGACCGGCCACACUGGGACUGAGACACGGCCCAGACUCCUACGGGAGGCAGCAGUGGGGAAUAUUGCACAAUGGGCGAAAGCCUGAUGCAGCGACGCCGCGUGAGGGAUGACGGCCUUCGGGUUGUAAACCUCUUUCAGCAGGGAAGAAGCGAAAGUGACGGUACCUGCAGAAGAAGCGCCGGCUAACUACGUGCCAGCAGCCGCGGUAAUACGUAGGGCGCGAGCGUUGUCCGGAAUUAUUGGGCGUAAAGAGCUCGUAGGCGGCUUGUCACGUCGGUUGUGAAAGCCCGGGGCUUAACCCCGGGUCUGCAGUCGAUACGGGCAGGCUAGAGUUCGGUAGGGGAGAUCGGAAUUCCUGGUGUAGCGGUGAAAUGCGCAGAUAUCAGGAGGAACACCGGUGGCGAAGGCGGAUCUCUGGGCCGAUACUGACGCUGAGGAGCGAAAGCGUGGGGAGCGAACAGGAUUAGAUAC